rnacentral:rRNA from 1 species
UACGUAGGGGGCAAGCGUUGUCCGGAUUUAUUGGGCGUAAAGAGCGUGUAGGCGGCCACACAGGUCUGCUGUGAAAACUCGAGGCUCAACCUCGAGACGUCGGCGGAAACCAUCUGGCUAGAGUCCGGAAGAGGAGAGUGGAAUUCCUGGUGUAGCGGUGAAAUGCGCAGAUAUCAGGAAGAACACCCGUGGCGAAGGCGGCUCUCUGGGACGGUACUGACGCUGAGACGCGAAAGCGUGGGGAGCGAACAGG